rnacentral:rRNA from 1 species
GACGAACCGUCCUAACGUUGUUCGGAAUCACUGGGCUUAAAGGCGCGUAGGCGGCUUGCCAAGUCAGGGGUGAAAUCCUGCAGCUUAACUGUAGAAGGGCCUUUGAUACUGGCGAGCUCGAGGGAGGUAGGGGUAUGUGGAACUUCCGGUGGAGCGGUGAAAUGCGUUGAUAUCGGAAGGAACGCCGGUGGCGAAAGCGACGUACUGGACCUCUUCUGACGCUGAGGCGCGAAAGCUAGGGGAGCAAACGGG